rnacentral:rRNA from 1 species
AUUGAACGCUGGCGGCAUGCCUUACACAUGCAAGUCGAACGGCAGCACGGGUGCUUGCACCUGGUGGCGAGUGGCGAACGGGUGAGUAAUACAUCGGAACGUACCUUAUCGUGGGGGAUAACGCAGCGAAAGCUGUGCUAAUACCGCAUACGCCCUGAGGGGGAAAGCGGGGGAUCGCAAGACCUCGCGCGAUUAGAGCGGCCAAUGCCUGAUUAGCUAGUUGGUGGGGUAAAAGCCCACCAAGGCGACGAUCAGUAGCUGGUCUGAGAGGACGAUCAGCCACACUGGGACUGAGACACGGCCCAGACUCCCACGGGAGGCAGCAGUGGGGAAUUUUGGACAAUGGGGGCAACCCUGAUCCAGCAAUGCCGCGUGAGUGAAGAAGGCCUUCGGGUUGUAAAGCUCUUUUGUCAGGGAAGAAACACCGGCUCUAACACAGUCCGGGAAUGACGGUACCUGAAGAAUAAGCACCGGCUAACUACGUGCCAGCAGCCGCCGUAA